rnacentral:tRNA from 1 species
GACUCAGUGGUCCAAUGGUAAAGCGUUCGCCGUGAAACCAGAGGAUCCUGGGUUCGACCCUCGACAGGGUCG